rnacentral:lncRNA from 1 species
GACUUUCAACAAUUUUAUAUGACCAAAAUUAAAAGGCUUUAUGGUGCUACUGUACCAACUGGCUUCAUUUCCUCAUGGAGACAUUCAUUUACCCAGGGACAACCAGGAGAACACCACAAAGAACAAAGGAUUCAAUUGAGUGUAUACUUGUGGUUUGCAUUUAACAGAGUUAAAAGUUAGUUUUAUUGGCUCAUUUUCCUCUUCUAGCUUGUUUCCCUUAAAUAAUAGGCUGCCAAAGCUCCUGAGUUUGGUUAUGUAUUUCCUGGUCCACUUAUGAAGAGGGAAGGAAAAUUUUUGUCUUGGCAUUCCAAAUAAGACUACUGAGACUCAGCCUAAUUAGAUUAGCUUAGGUCACAUGCCCCGCUGCCGCCCUCCCCCCGCCCCAUUUCCGGAUAUAUCAUUGCCACGAAAAGAGAAUGACUUACUCCUGAUCUGCCGAGUUGCUCACCUUAUGGACUAUGGGUAAGGAAUGGAUACCUGAGUAUCCAUAUUAGAGUUAUGUUAGGAAGGCAGGGGUAGGCAACCAACAGGUGCCCACUACAGUUCUGAAUGACUUUUUAAAAAAAUAUAGUACAUGUGCUGAAAGCCAACAUUUUUUUGAAAAACUUGGCUUUGACUGUCAGAAGCCAAGGACCUCAUUGAAAGAGUCCUGGGGUUUACCCAUAAAAAUAGACAUUAGAAAGAUAACGAUCCAGAGUGCUUGGGUAUUCCAACGAGUAGAUUAGGUGCCAGCUAGACUAGGAAGAGAAAGAGCAAAAGGAGGAGGUAUAAAGAGAUGGUUGGUAGAGCUCAUGAAAUGAUCAGAUCAGGAAGGACCAUGUGGACAAGAGAGUUAACCUGGAGACACUGGUUAGCACCAGUGCUGGAAAGACAUUUAGAGCAAGCUCCACUUGUGGUCUAUGAUAAGAUCUUAUUGUCAUAAAGACAUUUAGAGCAAGCUCCACUUGUGGUCUGUGAUAAGACCUUUAUUGUCAUCAGUGAUAUCUGACCAAACUUAGACUUUCAGUACAAAUUAAAACUAUCUAAUUUGGAUAAGCCCCUUUUCAAGCCACAAGACCCUGGAAAGCCCACAGAGCUGAAAGUGAAAGGAUGUGGCUCUAGAAUCUGGCAGGGCAGAGUUGAUGUAGAGAGGAACUUUUACCCUAGAUCACACUAGCUUGACAUUGGAUCACACUAGCUU